GUGAGCCGAAUGCAUUUCACAUUACGGAUAGCCAGAGCGGUGUGCGUGGGCGUGGCUCUGAUCGUGGCCGUUCUGUUCGUGGCAGACGUGCUGUCGUACCUGGGCGGGUGUUUGCUCCGGUAUCGGCAGCAGUUGGGCAGGAAAAACCGGCGGCAACGAACGCGUAUCGUCGCAUGGCAGCACGUGGGCGCGGGUCUGCUGCUAUAAUGCAGAGCGCGGGAUCUCCGACCAAGUUCCCCGGAUCAGGAUGCUGUUCCCGCGGAGCACGACGUAGACAUGU